rnacentral:rRNA from 1 species
UGCUCGGUGGAAAUAUUUUUUAACAGCUAUGGUACUUUAACCAUACAAAGGUAGCAUAAUCAAUUGCCUCUUAAUUGGGGGCUAGAAUGAAUGGUAUGACGAGAUUACUACUGUCUCUUUUGAUUUCUAUUGAAAUUGUUUUUGGGGUGAAAAAACCCUAAUUUUAAUACAUGACAAAAAGACCCUAUAAAGCUUUUUUGAUUAUUUAGGAAAGUUUCUUUAUAUAGAAUUAAGUUGGGGCGACUCUAGAAUGGGAAAGGCUUCUAGUGUAAUAAGUUAAUAACAAAUUUGUGAUCGCGAUAAAUUUUUCGUAUUAAAGGUAAAGUUACUUUAGGGAUAACAGGGCACUUCUUUUAGUGAGUACAUAUUUAUUAAAGAGUUUGCUACCUCGAUGUUGGAUUAAGGUAUCCUAAAGGUGUAUCCGCUUUUAAGGGUUGGUUUGUU